GACAGGCGAGAGUUAGUCUGCGGGCCAGCCCGAGGUUGGCCAAGGAACCCGGUGAAAAUCCGGGGCGGUCCCGCCGCUGUGACCGGGGACGAAUCCGGCAAAAACCACUGCCUGGGCGCUUAACCCAGGUGGGAAGGGCCGGCGGAGAAAGAUCCGGGAGCCAGAAGACGAGCAGAUUGACUUGAGGGGAU
rnacentral:ncRNA from 2 species